rnacentral:rRNA from 1 species
CACGUGUGCAACCAACCCCGUACCGGGAGAUAACCCGCGGAAACGUGGACUAACACCCCAUAACACCUUUCCCCCGCAUGGGGGAGAGUUUAAAAUCACGAUGGUACGGGACGGGCACGCGCGACAUUAGGUAGUUGGCGGGGUAACGGCCCACCAAGCCGACGAUGUCUAGGGGUUCUGAGAGGAAGGUCCCCCACACUGGAACUGAGACACGGUCCAGACUCCUACGGGAGGCAGCAGUGAGGAAUAUUGGUCAAUGGGCGAGAGCCUGAACCAGCCAAGUCGCGUGAGGGAAGAAUGGUCUAUGGCCUGUAAACCUCUUUUGUCAAGGAAGAAUAAGCGGCACGAGUGCCACCUUGCCAGUACUUGACGAAUAAGCAUCGGCUAACUCCGUGCCAGCAGCCGCGGUAAUACGGGGGAUGCGAGCGUUAUCCGGAUUUAUUGGGUUUAAAGGGCGCGUAGGCGGGACGUCAAGUCAGCGGUAAAAGACUGCAGCUAAACUGUAGCACGCCGUUGAAACUGUCGACCUGGAGACGAGACGAGGGAGGCGGAACAAGUGAAGUAGCGGUGAAAUGCAUAGAUAUCACUUGGAACCCCGAUAGCGAAGGCAGCUUCCCAGGCGCGAUCUGACGCUGAUGCGCGAGAGCGUGGGUAGCGAACAGGAUUAGAUACCCUGGUAGUCCACGCCGUAAACGAUGCUCACUGGAUCUUGGCGAUACACGGCCAGGGUUCAAGCGAAAGUAUUAAGUGAGCCACCUGGGGAGUACGUCGGCAACGAUGAAACUCAAAGGAAUUGACGGGGGCCCGCACAAGCGGAGGAACAUGUGGUUUAAUUCGAUGAUACGCGAGGAACCUUACCCGGGUUUAAAUGCAGGUUGCAUGAGGUGGAAACACCUCUUUCCCUCGGGACUACCUGCAAGGUGCUGCAUGGUUGUCGUCAGCUCGUGCCGUGAGGUGUCGGGUUAAGUCCCAUAACGAGCGCAACCCCUAUCGCCAGUUGCCAUCGGUUCAAGCCGGGCACUCUGUCGAGACUGCCACCGUAAGGUGCGAGGAAGGCGGGGAUGACGUCAAAUCAGCACGGCCCUUACACCCGGGGCGACACACGUGUUACAAUGGCCGGUACAGAGGGCAGCCACGGGGCGACCCGGAGCGAAUCUCUAAAGCCGGUCGUAGUUCGGACUGGAGUCUGCAACCCGACUCCACGAAGUUGGAUUCGCUAGUAAUCGCGCAUCAGC